UACGGGGGGGGCAAGCGUUGUUCGGAAUUACUGGGCGUAAAGGGCGCGUAGGCGGCCUUCUAAGUCGGACGUGAAAUCCCUCGGCUCAACCGAGGAACUGCGUCUGAUACUGGAAGGCUUGAAUCCGGGAGAGGGAUGUGGAAUUCCAGGUGUAGCGGUGAAAUGCGUAGAUAUCGGAAGGAACACCAAUGGCGAAGGCAGCCGCCUGGGCCUGAUCUGACACUGAGACACGAAAGCGUGGGGAUCAAACAGG
rnacentral:rRNA from 1 species